GUUCGCAAGCCGGACCACGUGUGCCGCCACCAUCGUCGACGAAGCGCAGCUUGUAACUAGCUGGGGGCGUUUCCUAUCACAUUGGCUGUGGCGGUGGAGCGCAAAGGACACGGCACUUAUCGCUCUUUCUGUGUUUCUCAGAUGUCACCUGUACCGUCUGGCGAUCGCGUACUCGAACUCUACGGCGCUGCAGGUCUCCACAGAGCGACGAUGAGAGUUCAAGCUGCGCAAGUGUUAUCCAGAGCGCCGUCUUCGAGCGCAACGAUGGCCUGGCGGUAUUGGAUUCGCACCCCACUCAUGAACUUCACCCGAGAACACGUCGUUCAUGUUAAAGAGGACAAUUGUGCUAAGAACUGGCGCCGACAAUCCACGCAUCCGCCUGGUCCGGUGUGGCGGUCGACGUCAGUCGGAAGACAUGGCUUAGAACAGUGCCCAGGCGCCGCGUCGAAGCAACGACAAUCAGCGCCGCUCUCGACAGGUUUGGUCGACACUGGCCACUCAACGCUGACAGUUAGCCUACACUGACCGUGUGUGCGCUGACGCAUGAGCGCACACAGUAAUGGCGGAAAUUUUUGCUUGGCGAGCAUUCGUCUGAAGAGGUAAUGUAUGUCACUGGACACUUUUGAGAAAUAGAAUGUUGUCUAGGAAAGAGCCCGUCUUAUCAUUUUUACGAACGAAAACAAGCUAAAAAGCUAUUUUAAACGACCAGUACAGUUAACUAGAGCUAACAAACGGCUCCAAUAUAAUAGUUGCGCGACGUUCACAGCGCCCCUGAAGGUAGUGCUCGGGGCUAAUAAAGAGUAAAGCCCUCUUAUUCAACGCGUUUUAAUAAAAAGCGCCCAUGGCCAGCAACAGCAUGAGCCUUCGCUCUUGAUUACAAGCAGCUAUGUAGUCGAGCUGACCGCUCUUUAGGUAUCGACUUAAUUAAACUUUUGUUGUUCGUUA